GCUGUUCAGGCACCAGAGCCAGGGCCACGGGAGGAUUUGCUUAUCUCGCUCAGUCCUGGAGGAGGAAUUUCCAGCACAGAGAAAAUGGGAUUUAACCAAUUCCCACCAGCAUCACCGCAGCGUCUCCCCACAUCCCAGCCUGAUUCAUCUCGUUAUUAGUGACCUUUCUCGCCGUGAGUCACCGCGACGCCGCCUCAGCCGCAGGAUGCAGGACUGCAGCCACACGCCAGCGCCCGGGACGCGGUGCUGGGCACCCGGCGGGACAAGAGGAGCCGGUCGCUGCUCUCAGGCAAUCCCUGGGGAUCCUUCCCACUCACUGGCUGAUGGUCGCUGCCACUACCACAGCCAGGUUUGAGUUUGCACCCCCGGAGCUGGCGUGUGCCUCCCGUGGGGCUGCGGGCUCAAAGAACCCCAGGGACAUCGAGCCAAUGCAGUGCAGGAGGUCAGCAUGGGGACAGCUUCUGGAGAGGCUGUGAAGCAUCUCAGAUCCUGCACGCUGACACCAUCGUAGUGUGGAUAGAGCCGCACAACACCAUCACAUGUAGAAUAAAGUCCAUUUAUUUCAUAGCAA